rnacentral:rRNA from 1 species
UAAAAUGGGAGGUAAAUUUCUCCUAAGGCUAAAUAACGGCGAGAGACCGAUAGCGAACAAGUACCGUGAGGGAAAGAUGAAAAGAACUUCGAAAAGAGAGUUAAACAGUACGUGAAAUUGUUGAAAGGGAAACGAUUGAAGCCAGUCGUACCUUCGGGUAAUCAGCCUUUCGGGUGCGAUUCUGUGGAGUGUGAGGAGCUUAAACACCUUCAUGUUUUGCAUAUUCGUACUCUUGGGUGUACUUGCCCGUGUGGUUGGUUAACAUCAAUUUUGGUGGUCAUAAAAUGACUGGGGGAAUGUAGCUUCGAUCUUGUAUUGAAGUGUUAUAGCCUUCGGUAGAUGUGAUGAUCGAGAUUGAGGAUUGCAACGGAUACCCUUUGGGGCUACCUGUCUGAUCUCUGAUCGUUGCUUUGGUGCCGAAAGCUUGCUUACGGUUAUCAAAGUCGAUGGUCAAUAGGUUAGAACGGGUUAA